rnacentral:lncRNA from 1 species
UCUAAAUUUCUGUUCCCCAAAGACUCGACAUUGCAUUGUAAAUUGGAAGGAUGAACACAAGGGAUAUACUAAAAUAUUGCACACUCUGUUUCCACCAAGUUUUGCCAAAUACAAGAAAACCUUAGUAUUUCAAAAAUUAAAAAAGUUUUGUAAACAGUUAAUUUUUAAAUAUGGCCAUAUCAAUGAUAAUUCAUGUCAGUCAAGUGCUGACUACUGGGACGGUUAAACCCUCGGGGAAUUAAAACUCCACUCCAGCAUUGGCAUCGACCCAGUGGUUGUAAAUAAACUCA